CUGGAUCUUGUUUAUUCCCUGUUUUCUCGUCUACGUCAUUAUUACUUUUCUCAACUUGAAGUGAUUCCUCUUCAACUUUUGCCUCUAGUUUUAAGCUUGCUGUACUGGGUAGCAAGCUUAGCUGGCUUUGUAGAGUUCUUUGGCAAUGGCAUAGAUCUUGGGUUUUUGGCCAUCUUAUUUGCUCUCAAUCUAGCUUCCUUAGCCUUGUGCUUCUUGCCUCGGAGAUGUUCAAUCAAACCUCUUUCACUUGUAGCGCUAACCUGACAUAGGGCGCAGCUCCAAUCUUCCUUGAGUUUCUUCUUUAAAC
rnacentral:misc_RNA from 1 species